CGUAACACGUGAGCAACCUACCGAACUGUGGGGGAUAGCCGGCCUAACGGCCGAGUAAUACCGCAUACGCUCUCAGAGAGGCAUUUCUUUGGGAGGAAACCUACGGGACAGAUCGAGGGGCUCGCGGCCUAUCAGCUAGUUGGCGAGGUAACGGCUCACCAAGGCAACGACGGGUAGCUGGUCUGAGAGGAUGGCCAGCCACAUUGGGACUGAGAUACGGCCCAG
rnacentral:rRNA from 1 species